rnacentral:rRNA from 1 species
GCAUGGCCGUCGUCAGUUCGUACUGUGAAGCAUCCUGUUAAGUCAGGCAACGAGCGAGACCCACGCCCACAGUUGCCAGCGUACUCUCCGGAGUGACGGGUACACUGUGGGGACCGCCGCUGCUAAAGCGGAGGAAGGAAUGGGCAACGGUAGGUCAGUAUGCCCCGAAUAUCCCGGGCUACACGCGAGCUACAAUGGUUGGUACAAUGGGUAUCUACCCCGAAAGGGGACGGAAAUCUCCUAAAACCAAUCUUAGUUCGGAUUGAGGGCUGCAACUCGCCCUCAUGAAGCUGGAAUCCGUAGUAAUCGCGUUUCAACAGAACGCGGUGAAUACGUCCCUGCUCCUU